GAUGAACGCUGGCGGCGUGCCUAAUACAUGCAAGUCGAGCGAACAGACGAGGAGCUUGCUCCGCUGACGUUAGCGGCGGACGGGUGAGUAACACGUGGAUAACCUACCUAUAAGACUGGGAUAACUUCGGGAAACCGGAGCUAAUACCGGAUAAUAUAUUGAACCGCAUGGUUCAAUAGUGAAAGACGGUUUUGCUGUCACUAAUAGAUGGAUCCGCGCCGCAUUAGCUAGUUGGUAAGGUAACGGCUUACCAAGGCAACGAUGCGUAGCCGACCUGAGAGGGUGAUCGGCCACACUGGAACUGAGACACGGUCCAGACUCCUACGGGAGGCAGCAGUAGGGAAUCUUCCGCAAUGGGCGAAAGCUUGACGGAGCAACGCCGCGUGAGUGAUGAAGGUCUUCGGAGCGUAAAACUCUGUUAUUAGGGAAGAACAAAUGUGUAAGUAACUAUGCACGUCUUGACGGUACCUAAUCAGAAAGCCACGGCUAACUACGUG
rnacentral:rRNA from 1 species